GCAGAUGAUGAAUAUGCAUUGGGCUCUGAGCAAUUGAUUAUCAGCUGUUUUAUUGAUGGACAAUGCACUGAUGCAGCCCUAGAAAGCUAAACCUGAUGU